GGAGGGUACAGCUCAGUAAUAGAGUGCAUGCUUCCCAUGCAUGAGGUCCUGGAUUCAAUCCCCUGCAUCUCCA
rfam:Camelus ferus unplaced genomic scaffold scaffold256, whole genome shotgun sequence.